rnacentral:rRNA from 1 species
GCUUAGAGUUUGAUCCUGGCUCAGGAUGAACGCUGGCGGCGUGCUUAACACAUGCAAGUCGAACGGUCUCUUCGGAGAUAGUGGCGGACGGGUGAGUAACGCGUGAGAAUCUGCCUUUAGGUUCGGGACAACAGUUGGAAACGACUGCUAAUACCGAAUGUGUCGCAAGAUGAAAGAUUUAUUGCCUAAAGAUGAGCUCGCGUCUGAUUAGCUAGUUGGUGGGGUAAAAGCGUACCAAGGCGACGAUCAGUAGCUGGUCUGAGAGGAUGAUCAGCCACACUGGGACUGAGACACGGCCCAGACUCCUACGGGAGGCAGCAGUGGGGAAUUUUCCGCAAUGGGCGAAAGCCUGACGGAGCAACGCCGCGUGAGGGAGGAAGGCUUUUGGGUUGUAAACCUCUUUUCUCAAGGAAGAUAAUGACGGUACUUGAGGAAUCAUCAUCGGCUAACUCCGUGCCAGCAGCCGCGGCAAUACGGAGGAUGCAAGCGUUAUCCGGAAUAAUUGGGCGUACAGCGUUCGUAGAUGGUUUUUGCAAGUCUGCUGGUAAAGCGUGUAGCUUAACUACAUAAUGGCGGUGGAAACU